ensembl:lncRNA
AGUUCUGCUCUGGCCCUGACACAGCCACACUAAUCCACUUAAACUCUUUCCUUUUUAUGAGGAUUCACAUUGUCACCUGCAAAAGGUAGUGAGGCACUGGAGCAGCUUGUCCAUGGGGAUGGUGGAUGCCCUGUCCUUGGAGACAUUCAAGGUCAGGCAGGAACAGGCUGUAAGCAUGAUCAGGCUGAUCUAGCUGUAGGUGUCCCUGUUGUUGCAGAUUUGAGCUUGAUCUUGGAAAGUGCUGAAUGCCUAAUGCUCCUCAGGGAAGUCUGAGAAUGCUGUGGUUCCUGAGCACCACACAGCUACAUUAAAAACUCUUAGAUCUCUCUGGAUCAUUCACAAAAGCUAAAGAUGGCAUCUGCGGGAUGGAAACUGGUGCUUUAUCUCCUUCCUCAGACCUAUGAAACUUCUAGAAAAGAUACGUUUAAAUAACUAGGUGCACAGAGAACAACAUCCCAUGAGUGAAGAUGUACAGACGAGCUCUCCUGGUGAAAAUGCACUGGGGAAAUGAUGAGAUGGACAAAGAUGGGAGAGAAAAUCUUCACAGCAGCAGUAAGACAAGCAGAGAAGGAAAGACAGAUGGGCUGAAGAUUGGAGUAAAGACUAUUUAAAUAAAAAAUUAUGAA